rnacentral:rRNA from 1 species
GAUGAACGCUGGCGGCGUGCCUAAUACAUGCAAGUCGAGCGAACGGACGAGAAGCUUGCUUCUCUGAUGUUAGCGGCGGACGGGUGAGUAACACGUGGAUAACCUACCUAUAAGACUGGGAUAACUUCGGGAAACCGGAGCUAAUACCGGAUAAUAUUUUGAACCGCAUGGUUCAAAAGUGAAAGACGGUCUUGCUGUCACUUAUAGAUGGAUCCGCGCUGCAUUAGCUAGUUGGUAAGGUAACGGCUUACCAAGGCAACGAUGCAUAGCCGACCUGAGAGGGUGAUCGGCCACACUGGAACUGAGACACGGUCCAGACUCCUACGGGAGGCAGCAGUAGGGAAUCUUCCGCAAUGGGCGAAAGCCUGACGGAGCAACGCCGCGUGAGUGAUGAAGGUCUUCGGAUCGUAAAACUCUGUUAUUAGGGAAGAACAUAUGUGUAAGUAACUGUGCACAUCUUGACGGUACCUAAUCAGAAAGCCACGGCUAACUACGUGCCAGCAGCCGCGGUAAUACGUAGGUGGCAAGCGUUAUCCGGAAUUAUUGGGCGUAAAGCGCGCGUAGGCGGUUUUUUAAGUCUGAUGUGAAAGCCCACGGCUCAACCGUGGAGGGUCAUUGGAAACUGGAAAACUUGAGUGCAGAAGAGGAAAGUGGAAUUCCAUGUGUAGCGGUGAAAUGCGCAGAGAUAUGGAGGAACACCAGUGGCGAAGGCGACUUUCUGGUCUGUAACUGACGCUGAUGUGCGAAAGCGUGGGGAUCAAACAGGAUUAGAUACCCUGGUAGUCCACGCCGUAAACGAUGAGUGCUAAGUGUUAGGGGGUUUCCGCCCCUUAGUGCUGCAGCUAACGCAUUAAGCACUCCGCCUGGGGAGUACGACCGCAAGGUUGAAACUCAAAGGAAUUGACGGGGACCCGCACAAGCGGUGGAGCAUGUGGUUUAAUUCGAAGCAACGCGAAGAACCUUACCAAAUCUUGACAUCCUUUGACAACUCUAGAGAUAGAGCCUUCCCCUUCGGGGGACAAAGUGACAGGUGGUGCAUGGUUGUCGUCAGCUCGUGUCGUGAGAUGUUGGGUUAAGUCCCGCAACGAGCGCAACCCUUAAGCUUAGUUGCCAUCAUUAAGUUGGGCACUCUAAGUUGACUGCCGGUGACAAACCGGAGGAAAGUGGGGAUGACGUCAAAUCAUCAUGCCCCUUAUGAUUUGGGCUACACACGUGCUACAAUGGACAAUACAAAGGGCAGCGAAACCGCGAGGUCAAGCAAAUCCCAUAAAGUUGUUCUCAGUUCGGAUUGUAGUCUGCAACUCGACUACAUGAAGCUGGAAUCGCUAGUAAUCGUAGAUCAGCAUGCUACGGUGAAUACGUUCCCGGGUCU